UACGUAGGUGACCAGCGUUGUCCGGAUUUACUGGGCGUAAAGAGCGCGCAGGCGGUCGUUCAAGUCGAGUGUGAAAGCCCCCGGCUCAACUGGGGAGGGUCACUUGAUACUGAUCGACUCGAAGGCAGGAGAGGGAAGCGGAAUUCCCGGUGUAGUGGUGAAAUGCGUAGAUAUCGGGGAGGAACACCAGUGGCGAAGGCGGCUUCCUGGCCUGUUCUUGACGCUGAGGCGCGAAAGCUAGGGGAGCAACGGG
rnacentral:rRNA from 1 species